rnacentral:lncRNA from 1 species
AAGUCCAAAAUUUUUCUGUUAUAUUUUAUUUAUUUAUCUAUUUAUUUAUUUAUUUAUUUAUUUAUUUAUUUAUUUCGUUUUUCGUUUUUUGUUUUUUUUUUUCGUUUUUCGUUUUUUUUAACACGUGGGCUUCGCCUAGCGAGCAUGACAGUUCAAGAAAUUCCUCUGAGCGUAGGUGAUUCUGGUGGCUUUUCUUGGGACU